CGACCGGCGCACGGGUGAGUAACGCGUAUGCGACCUGCCCGUUGCAGGGGGAUAAUCGGGAGAAAUCCCGUCUAAUACCGCGUAACGCCGCGGGGCUGCAUGGCCCUGCGGCCAAAGGGAGCGAUUCCGGCAACGGAUGGGCAUGCGUGACAUUAGCUAGUUGGCGGGGCAACGGCCCACCAAGGCGACGAUGGAUAGGGGUUCUGAGAGGAAGGUCCCCCACAUUGGAACUGAGACACGGUCCAAACUCCUACGGAAGGCAGCAG
rnacentral:rRNA from 1 species